UUCCCUUUGGCACAGAACAAUGAUCCUGCAGCCUCCAGAAGAUCUCGUGAGGCAAAUACAGAGAUUGGCUAAAGGCACCAGUGCUGUAUCUACCCAGACAAGAAGGAGGACAAGGCCUAGUAGAUGUUGGGUCCAGAGUGAAGACAUUCAAACUCCAAGUGGCGCAGAGACUUCUCUACAGGCAGGAUGUGAGCUGGGCUGGGAUAGCGUGCACCUUACUGAGGAAAUCAGUGGCUGCAGGCAUAUUACAUGCACAUCCGGCCAAGAGCGAUCAGGAGUGACCUGAACUGUGACAGAUUUUUUCCUUUCGUCAGCUGGCACGGCUUUGCUCACAGUUUCAAACGACCUUGGUGUGCUCCACAAAGCUUAUGAAAAAAGCUGGAGAGAGUGCACACUGGAAAGCUUUUUAAGAGCCACCACUCGUCAGGCAGGAAGUGCGGCAGAGUCAGCAGCAGCUAACCCGAAGGACACGGAGAAGGAGGCCGUGUCCUUUCACUUGGCCUACGACACUGCCGUGGCCAGACUGCGCAGAGUACCGACGCCACAGGCUGUAGCCGCCACGGCUACAUUGCUGGACUCCUUGGCAGGCUGUGACACCGACCGGUAUCCUGGUCCGUCAGUCACAAAGUCUUUUGACUUUUCAGACUUUUUAAAGAUGUUUCCGGCGUCGGCAGACAGCAAACCACCCACCAAACAGGACGGGUUAAAGGCAGGGUUUCCGGGGGAUCGUGUCUUCUACGACAAGUGGCGUGCCUCCCAAAAGGCCAAAAGAAUGGAACUGCUGCUAUGCAAGUACUCUGAUCCAUAAAUACCACAUUGACUAACAAAAUGAAUAAAUAUUUACUUUGACAAUUGAGCAAAACUAUGGUCUCCACCCACAAGCUCAAGUCAUUUCUGUUGUGAUUUGUUCCUGUCGAUAACUGACGUGUGACUGCAGUCGUUUUAUUCUUCGUUCUAGUGUCCUUUAUCCGAAAACCACGAGAAAGCAGGGUGAAAUGCAGGAUUGUGAAGGAGGGGUGGAAGAACAACUGUCCGAAGCCAGCGGACGUUUUGGCGGCAUGGAAACCAGCCACCAGACUUGUCAUCGAGACUGAUGAGGGCUUCUGCCAGAAUGCGUCUCAGCAGACGUGGAAAGGCCUGGCCCUCAAAGGUUUUGGUGGAGA